GACGAGGGGUGCAAGCGUUAUUCGGAAUUAUUGGGCGUAAAGGGCGCGUAGGCGGCUUUGCAAGUCGGGUGUGAAAUCCCCAGGCUUAACCUGGGAACUGCAUUCGAGACUGCAUUGCUAGAGUAUGGGAGAGGGAAGUGGAAUUUCCGGUGUAGCGGUGAAAUGCGUAGAUAUCGGAAGGAACAUCAGCGGCGAAAGCGACUUCCUGGACCAAUACUGACGCUCAUGUGCGAAAGCGUGGGGAGCAAACAGG
rnacentral:rRNA from 1 species